rnacentral:rRNA from 1 species
CCUACGGGAGGCAGCAGUGGGGAAUAUUGCACAAUGGGGGAAACCCUGAUGCAGCGACGCCGCGUGAGUGAAGAAGGAAUGCGUUAUGUAAAGCUCUAUCAGCAGGGAAGAAAAGGACGGUACCUGAGUAAGAAGCCCCGGCUAACUACGUGCCAGCAGCCGCGGUAAUACGUAGGGGGCAAGCGUUAUCCGGAUUUACGGGGUGUAAAGGGAGCGUAGACGGCCGUGCAAGUCUGGAGUGAAAGGCGGGGGCUCAACCCCCGGACUGCUCUGGAAACGGUACGGCUGGAGUGCAGGAGCGGUAAGUGGCCUUCCUCGUGUAGCGGUGACAUGCGUAGAUAUUAGGAGGAACACCAGUGGCGCAGGCGGCUUACUGGACUGUAACUGCCGUUGCGGCUCGACCGCGUGGGGAGCAACCAGGAUUAGAUACCCGUGUCGUC